rnacentral:rRNA from 1 species
UACGUAGGGUGCGAGCGUUGUCCGGAAUUAUUGGGCGUAAAGAGCUUGUAGGCGGUUUGUCGCGUCUGCCGUGAAAAUCCGGGGCUCAACCCCGGACUUGCGGUGGGUACGGGCAGACUAGAGUGUGGUAGGGGAGACUGGAAUUCCUGGUGUGGCGGUGAAAUGCGCAGAUAUCAGGAGGAACACCGAUGGCGAAGGCAGGUCUCUGGGCCACUACUGACGCUGAGAAGCGAAAGCGUGGGGAGCGAACAGG